CGCCUCUUGACCAAAUAUAAGAGGUCCAGCCUGCCCAGUGACCCUGUUCAACGGCCGCGGUAUCCUAACCGUGCGAAGGUAGCGUAAUCACUUGUCCUUUAAAUAAGGACUGGUAUGAACGGCAUCACGAAGGUUAUACUGUCUCCUUUUUCUAAUCAGUGAAUCUAAUCUCCCCGUGAAGAAGCGGGGAUAAAACUAUAAGACGAGAAGACCCUAUGGAGCUUUAAACUAAGUAACAAUUGCUUACGCAUUCUUUCAUUUCAGAAUACUAACACUUAUCCUAGCUAUAUGUUUACUAGUUUUAGGUUGGGGUGACCGCGGAGUAAAAAAUAACCUCCACAUUGAAUGGAAUUAAAUUCCUGAGUCAUGGACUACAACCCUAAACACCAAUAAAUUGACAUCAAUUGACCCAAUAGUUUGAUCAACGAACCAAGUUACCCUAGGGAUAACAGCGCAAUCCGCUUAAAGAGCUCCUAUCGACAAGCGGGUUUACGACCUCGAUGUUGGAUCAGGGUGUCCCAGUGGUGCAGCCGCUACUAAAGGUUCGUUUGUUCAACGAUUAAAACCCU
rnacentral:rRNA from 1 species